GGGGAGGACAGGUACUGAUUAUAAAAGGCAAUAUGGAGGUGUCAUCACCCCAGGCUUCCCAAGGGCCGAAUUCUCUACUGAGCUUCUGGACUUGCUCUUCUGUCACUGCUGUCCACAAACUCUUUCCCACUGUGUCCCCCUCUGGGACACUUGGCCUGAUGUCUGAGUCUUAUAGGUGCUUAUAGGUGUCACUCCUGGCUUGAUGCCCUGCUUCCCAACCCCUCCGAGACCCUGCAGAAUGACCGCAGAGGCCUCUGGAUCCUCGCCCAGGCACGCACAGGACCCACCAGUCUGUGAGGCUGCCUCUCCCGGCAUCCGUCUCAGUGUAGCACCUAGCACACGGAAACCUCAGCAAGUACUUAUGAGUUAGUGUAUAUUGUGCCAAGGUGACUGGAUCUGAUGGAAAGAGGAUGGGAGGGGCCAAGAUCCCCCAAGACUGAGCAGCCCCAUCAUCAGCAACUUCUGGAGAUGGUACCUGAACCAUCUCAGCACAGUGGCAUCUGUGGAGCUCCUGGAUGGCAUCAGGGCCCAUUAGGACACUGGGUACCAAGUUUGCAUUUAGCAUGAAAUGGGAAGACCCAGAUGAGCCAAGAGAAGCUUACAUUGACCUAGGAUAGACCUAGGGUGGAGGGCAGAGCCUUCUUGGAUGGGUUGUGUGGAUGUGGAAGUCAGGAGGAAAGAACAGUAGGGUUUCUAGAGUGGUCCCUCAGGUCUCUGCAUCCCCCGCUCAGUCAUCUUGACCUCCUAACAGUUGCUGGCAGCCCUAAUGUGGCUCCCACACAAGUUCCCAUAAGUUGGUCAAGUCUCCUCCUACACACCUCUGCCUAUACACAGACCAGGAAAAGCCAGGCUAGGACUUGGUGAUCAGUCAGGAGCCCAGUGAGCCCACCCUCUUCAGGCCUCCCAAAGAAACCACCAGUGUGUGUGGGCUCAGGCUGGGCUGGGGCGGGAGCUCUCUUAGAGGGAAUCCUCUGGAGCUCCUGUAAGAUUAAAACUAUCAUUCCUGCCUGAAUUGGCCUCUUGCAUGGGUUUACUAAAUAUUUAAAAUCUCUUUAUUAAAAGAGUUACCAUUUUGAAAUGUCAGCCUGUCCGCCAGCUUGUCCUUUCUCUGGAGUGUGGUCUCCCCAGCCAAAAUGAUCUCUGCCUGGAACCCAAGAUCAUAAGCCAUUCUGAGGACCUACUCUGUGCCCAGCAUGCUGGAGUAUACAGGCUUCUGGUAACUCAGCCUGUGUCUUAGCAGCUCCAGCAGGCUCGGCUGCAGCCUGGGAGGUCUACAGAAUCCAUGAGGCAGGUGAGGAUAUGGUCUGGAGCCAGAGUUCUAGUUGCUACUUCCUGCCUCUCUGGUGCUGGGCCAGCCCAAGAAGGCAAUAAGCAACAAAGUCCUGUGUCCCAGAAGCCUCCAGCCCAGGGCAGAGACAGGAACAUGGAUCCUGCACAUAGGCAAGGUCCUGUGCCUACAGGGAUACGGGAGAAGCUGGGGCUGGUGGCAGGAAGGAGCAUGGACUAAUGUGUAUCCAUGUUAGUCUGAGAGAAUUAGAGAAGGUUAGAGGAGACAGGGCUCAGGCUGAGUCAGAGUUUGGUUGAGCUAGGUUAGGUUAGGUUAGGUUAGGUUAGGUUAGUUUAGGCUAUAGUUAAAGUUACGAUAGGUUAAGGUUAGAUAAGAUAAGAGGAGAAUUAGGUUAAGGUUAGGGUAAGGUAGGUUAGGUUAAGGUCAGAUAUGGUUAGGGUAAAAUCGGGUUAGGGUUAGGUUAAAGUUUGGUUAGGUUGGGUUAAGGUUAAAUAAGGUUAGGGUAGAGUUAGGUUAAUGUUUGUUUGUGGUUAAGUUUACAUAGUGUUAGGGUGAAGUUAGAUUACGAUUUGGUUAGGCUUAGGUUAAAUUAGAGUUAUGUUAAUGUUGGUCUGUGUUAGGUAGGGUUAGCUUAAGGUUAGAUUAGAUUAGGGUAAAGUUAGGGUAAAGUCAGGGUUAAGUUAGCAUUAGGUUAGUGUUCGUUUACGGUUAGAUAGGGUUUAAAAGCUAGGCGAGGCUCUGACAAUAUGGAAAUGUGUGUAGCAAGUUCCAACUUGCUCAUGGCAUGGAGCUAGACAUGAAAGCGCCCAUGGGGCUGAGUGUGUGUUUCAAGAUGCACGCUCCCACUUUGCCCUCAGCAGAACAGAGACCCUCCUGACGCCAGUGACAGGGAGCUUGGCUCCAGUGCCCUUAUCAGGCUCUGAAAAGACUCCCCAUAGGGGUGUGGCUUGGGCAGAGGGCAAGAGAGUCUACAGGGCCUGCAGGUGAGCUAAGCAGCUGCUAUGAGUGAGAAUCUAGACAGGCACCCAGCACGGGUGUGCUUACACUUCGAGGGGACAAGGAAAGGCUUGGAAUUGGGUUGGAGUGGGGUCUGAACAUCAGUCUGCUAAGGAUGGAUAUCCCUUGAGUCCAUGGGUGCUGAGAUACCAGUGCCUAAACACCCAGCUGGGCAAACUUCCCUGUGAACCUGGGUCCAGGUAGAAGAACCUAGCUAGCUCCAGGCGAGUGAACCAGACUCCCUUACAGAGAGAAGAUGGGGAUCUUGUCAAGAUUAGGCCACGCUUGGCUUCCGGCCCCGCCCUCCUGUGUUGGAAGAACGUUAGAAUGAUUAAGUCUUUCAAGGUGGUCUGCAUUGACCUACUGUGGGAUGGAAUUUUCCAUCUACUGCAGCUCCCGUUGGCCUCGGUUAGGGACAGAGGCCUGGGGAUGUCACUUGGAUCAGCCUGAAUUGGCACAAAUGCUUAGGCAUCUAGAUGCUGUCUAGAAAGCCGUUCCCAGAGUCACCAAAGGCCUGGGUCCCAUCUGGGCAUAAACUCGGGUAUCAGAAGUGACUUAGAUGCGUCUGUGGAUGUCUGGGAUCAUUCUGUCCUCAUGUGGACCAGGAUGGAGUCAGGUGGUUGGUGUAGGCAGUCCCAACCAUCUCCGUUACCCACCCACUCACCUUGCUGUCAGCAAGAGUUAAGUUUUAAUGAGAAAAGAGAUUCUCUCUGGAAUAUUGAGUAUAAUUAAAACUGUG
rnacentral:lncRNA from 1 species